GCUGGCGGCGUGGAUAAGACAUGCAAGUCGAGCGGGAUUUCUUUCUGUAGCAAUACAGAGAGAAGUCCAGCGGCGAACGGGUGCGUAACACGUGGGCAAUCUGUCUUAAAGUGGGGGAUAGCUCGGCGAAAGCCGAAUUAAUACCGCAUGUGAUCAGGGGCGACAUCGCUCCGAAAUCAAAGGUGGCGCAAGCUACCGCUUUUUGAGGGGCCCGCGGCCUAUCAGCUUGUUGGUGAGGUAACGGCUCACCAAGGCUAUGACGGGUAGCUGGUCUGAGAGGACGACCAGUCACACUGGGACUGAGACACGGCCCAGACACCUACGGGUGGCAGCAGUCGAGAAUUUUUGACAAUGGGGGAAACCCUGAUCGAGCGACGCCGCGUGGAGGAUGAAGGUCUUCGGGUUGUAAACUCCUGUCAUUUGGGAACAAGGUGCACGUAUUAACUGUACGUGCGUUGAUAGUACCAGAAGAGGAAGGGACGGCUAACUCUGUGCCAGCAGCCGCGGUAAUACA
rnacentral:rRNA from 1 species